ACAUAACAUGAAAAAAGAUGUGGCAAAGGCUAAGGAAAGGGUAUAUAGUGAGCUGUACAUGAAGCUGAACACUAACGAAGGAGAAAAGGACAUAUA